rnacentral:rRNA from 1 species
GACGAACGCUGGCGGCGUGCCUAAUACAUGCAAGUCGAACGCUGGAGGAGGAGCUUGCUUCUCUGGAUGAGUUGCGAACGGGUGAGUAACGCGUAGGUAACCUGCCUGGUAGCGGGGGAUAACUAUUGGAAACGAUAGCUAAUACCGCAUAAUAUUGACUAUUGCAUGAUAGUCAGUUGAAAGGUGCAACUGCACCACUACCAGAUGGACCUGCGUUGUAUUAGCUAGUUGGUGGGGUAACGGCUCACCAAGGCGACGAUACAUAGCCGACCUGAGAGGGUGAUCGGCCACACUGGGACUGAGACACGGCCCAGACUCCUACGGGAGGCAGCAGUAGGGAAUCUUCGGCAAUGGACGGAAGUCUGACCGAUCAACGCCGCGUGAGUGAAGAAGGUUUUCGGAUCGUAAAGCUCUGUUGUAAGAGAAGAACGAGUGUGAGAGUGGAAAGCUCACACUGUGACGGUAGCUUACCAGAAAGGGACGGCUAACUACGUG